rnacentral:rRNA from 1 species
UACGGAGGGGACUAGCGUUGUUCGGAAUUACUGGGCGUAAAGCGCACGUAGGCGGAUUUGUUAGUCAGGGGUGAAAUCCCGAGGCUCAACCUCGGAACUGCCUUUGAUACUGCAAAUCUCGAGUCCGGAAGAGGUGAGUGGAAUUCCUAGUGUAGAGGUGAAAAUUCGUAGAUAUUCGGAAGAACACCAGUGGCGAAGGCGACUAACUGGACAUGUAUUGACGCUGAGGUGCGAAAGCGUGGGGAGCAAACAGG